CCAAGUUAUUAUAUUAAUGAGAAACCAAACUGUUUUUUAACUUCUGGUUGAUUAUGAAACUGUAAACUGAUGAUGACACUGCACAUGAAGAUCAGUUUGAGGAAUUUUUAAUAAAAGCCCCACCUAGUGGUCAUCAAGAUCACGAGAGGUAUGUUCAGAGAUUUGGAUUCUUUGUGUUGAUAGGAGGAAAAAAAUUACAUUUGUUUUGUGACUCAGAAGAUAUGAUUAAAAG
rnacentral:lncRNA from 1 species